GCAAGUCGAACGGGAUCCGGGCUUUCGGGUUUGGUGAGAGUGGCGAACGGGUGAGUAACACGUGAGUAACCUGCCCCCUUCUUUGGGAUAACGUCGGGAAAUCGGCGCUAAUACUGGAUAUUCUUGCUGCAUCGCAUGGUGUGGUUUGGAAAGGGUUUCUGGUGGGGGAUGGGCUCGCGGCCUAUCAGCUUGUUGGUGGGGUGAUGGCCUACCAAGGCUUUGACGGGUAGCCGGCCUGAGAGGGUGUCCGGCCACACUGGGACUGAGACACGGCCCAGACUCCUACGGGAGGCAGCAGUGGGGAAUAUUGCACAAUGGGCGCAAGCCUGAUGCAGCGACGCCGCGUGAGGGAUGACGGCCUUCGGGUUGUAAACCUCUUUCAGUAUGGAACAAGGAUCCUUCUUUUGGGGGGUUUGAGGGUACGUGCAGAAGAAGCGCCGGCUAACUACGUGCCAGCAGCCGCGGUAAUACGUAGGGCGCGAGCGUUGUCCGGAUUUAUUGGGCGUAAAGAGCUCGUAGGCGGUUUGUCGCGUCUGCCGUGAAAUUUCCUGGCUUAACUGGGAGCGUGCGGUGGGUACGGGCAGACUGGAGUGCGGUAGGGGAGACUGGAAUUCCUGGUGUAGCGGUGGAAUGCGCAGAUAUCAGGAGGAACACCGGUGGCGAAGGCGGGUCUCUGGGCCGUUACUGACGCUGAGGAGCGAAAGCAUGGGGAGCGAACAGGAUUAGAUACCCUGGUAGUCCAUGCUGUAAACGUUGGGAACUAGGUGUGGGGUCCAUUUCCACGGAUUCUGCGCCGUAGCUAACGCAUUAAGUUCCCCGCCUGGGGAGUACGGCCGCAAGGCUACAACUCAAGGAAUUGACGGAA
rnacentral:rRNA from 1 species